rnacentral:rRNA from 1 species
GUAGGUGGCAAGCGUUGUCCGGAAUUAUUGGGCGUAAAGCGCGCGCAGGCGGUUCUUUAAGUCUGAUGUGAAAGCCCACGGCUCAACCGUGGAGGGUCAUUGGAAACUGGAGAACUUGAGUACAGAAGAGGAAAGCGGAAUUCCACGUGUAGCGGUGAAAUGCGUAGAGAUGUGGAGGAACACCAGUGGCGAAGGCGGCUUUCUGGUCUGUAACUGACGCUGAGGCGCGAAAGCGUGGGGAGCAAACAGGAUUAGAUACCCUGGUAGUCCACGCCGUAAACGAUGAGUGCUAAGUGUUAGGGGGUUUUCCGCCCCCUUAGUGCUGCAGCUAACGCAUUAAGCACUCCGCCUGGGAGUACGGCCGCAAGGCUG